UCCAAAAAAUCAGAAGCCGACAUCUAUGAAAGAUUUGAGGUUGAUUACGCUUUGUAACAUUGUUUAUAAACUGGUGGUGAAGGUUCUUACGAAUUGUCUGAAGAUCUUGUUACCUCAAUUCAUUUCUCGGUCUUAAUUUGCUUUUGUUCCAAGUCAUCUCAUUACUGAUAAUGCGAUGGUUGCUUUUGAAACCAUUCAUCACAUGAAGAAUAAAGGGUGAGGUUUGAUGGGUGAGAUCGCUUUAAAAGUUGACAUUAGUAAAGCCUAUGACAUGGUGAAUUGGAUCUUUCUUCAUUUUAUUUUGGAAAGGCUGGGUUCCAUCACAGAUAAGUAGAUUGGAUGAUGCUUUGUGUUCCCUUCGUCAACUAUAUCAUUUUGUUUAAUGGCACUGAGUUGGGACUAAUUUCUCCCAAACGAGGCCUCUGUCAGGGUGAUCCAUUAUCACUGUAUCUUUUCAUUCUGUGCACUGAGGGGCCAAGUUAUUUGAUGAUGAACGCAGAGAGAUGAGUGGAUAUUCAUGGACUCUCUAUUUUUAGGGGAGUCCUACAUUAUCACAUCUGCUUUUUGCAGAUGAUGGUUUCUUCUUUUUUUGUGCUAUGGAGACAGAAGCUGAGGCGGUGAAGGGGUCAUUAUUAUGUUACAAUGAAGCUUCUGGGUAGGCCAUUAAUUUCUUUGAGUCUGGAAUUAUGUUUAGUUCUAAUUCCAAGCAACAAGGCCGUUAGAGAAUUUGUUCUAUUCUUGUUGUUUCAAUGCCUCUUAAUCAUGGUCGUUAUUUGGGACUUUCGUCACUAACUGGGCAUAAAAGAAAGCAAGUCUUUGCUUUCCUAAAGGAGCAUUGAGCAAGCAUAUCCACAGCUAGAAAAAUAGGUUUCUCUCUAGUGCAAGUAAGGAAGUUGUGCUUAAAACGGUGGCUCAGGCUGUUUUAGUCUAUAGUCAGCACGUGUUUUUACUACCUCAUAAUGCUUGUGAUGACCUACUGAAGAUGAUGAGUUCUUUUUGGCGGGGUUUUGAUAAUGAUGGGCGGAAAAUUCACUAUGCUUAUUGGGAUAGGUUUUGUGUUCCUAAACAAUUUGGUAGAUUGGGUUUUCACAACUCGAGAAGCAAGGUUGGCAAUUCCUUUCGGUGAAUUGUGGGUUUCUUGAUGAGUUGGAAGGUAAUUCUCCUUCUUUCAUUUGGAAAAGUAUUCAUAAGGCUAUUAAGGUGCUUUAUAGAGGGGUUAGAUGCUGAGUUGGUGAUGCGAGGGCGAUUGAGGGGCACAAUGAUUCGUGGAUUAGUGAAUGAUAAUUCUUUUUUAUUAAUUCUACUCCAAUUGAAGGUUGUGAACAUCUGGAAGUCAAUGGUUUAAUCCACUAACGGUGGUGCAUUGGAUACAGAUAUGGUUGAGGGACUCCUUACCCCAUAAGAUGCUGACUGUGUGCUUCAUAUGCCGAUCAGUUGGUCUACGGGGGUUAAAGGUUUAUCUUUGGCGUUGUUUGCGUGGGUUUUUCUGUGCAAUAGUAAGAUUUUUCAUCGUGGAAUCCAAGUUGAUUCUCUCUGCUUUAGGUGUCAACAGUCAGAAAAAGACAUUGAUCAUGUUCUUUUUUGUUGUUCACAUGCCAAAGUUGUUUGGGAUUUGCUAGAUGUUGAGUCCCAAUCUACUUUUAGAAUGAUGGCGGAAUCUGUUGUGUAUCAGGCGAGGUCGUUCCUGCAAGGUUGGUUGGUAGCUAAAAAAUGUGCAUGAGUCAGCCGAUUUUUAGAACACUAGUUGAGGGUGGUGAUGACCACUGGUGCUGUCCGCCAGCAAGUAAACUGAAAAAUGCAACUUUGAUGUCGCUAUUUUAAAUAACUAUGGUUCCAUGGCAGGGAGGUUAUGUUCGUUCCAUCACCGGUUUUAUGAAGAGUGACAUGGUUAAAGUUCUUGCUGCACGUGAGGCUCGCUCUUGGCUAAAAUCAUUGCAGAAGGAUGAUAUUGUUCUGGAAACUGAUUGUCAAAAGGCUUUGCUCAGUCUUUUUCUAUCCGUAGGAUCGCCAACAAAAAUCCAUAACUGCGGCUACUAGUAUAGGCAAGCAACUAAAACAUUUUAUCUCUUUGCAUUGAAAUGCAACUACGAUCAACAUUUGUUCAAUGAUUAUACAGACAGUUUCCUUCUACAAAACUAAAUAUUCACAAGCUACAUCAACUAUUAUAGUUCUUACAAUUUAAUCAUGAAGAAAUGAAAUUUGUCACAUUCUAA